rnacentral:hammerhead_ribozyme from 1 species
AUCCAGCUGAAGAGUUUCAAAUAGGACGAUACACGCAUCCUGGAU